AGAAGAAAACAGUUUUGUUUCCUUGUUUACAUGCAUCCCUGUGGUUAAAGAGAAAGAGUCCUUCAUCUUUAAUAUCAACCUUCAGAGGCUCCCUGCCUGUCUUUCUUGGCAGAAUACACAUCUGCUGGAUCAAUGGCUUUGUAGACAAGCUCAGCCCGGUCUUUGGCCCUGAGCUACCCUUUAGUCUGCUUCACUGGCAGAGCAGCAAAGGGGAUGGGCAAAGGAGCAGACCUGCAAGGCCCAGAUGGCCCAAGCAGCCUGAGGCAAGACCAGUGUCUCAGUGCCUGCUCUCUCUUCCUGUAUCUUGUCUUCUUUCAUGCCUGCAAGCUGGACUAUAGCUUGGAAUUGUUGGUCGUUCGGUCUUUGGAAGAGCCCCCAAGCUGUGUCACCAUGAUUCAUCAUUUCUGUUGAGAAUGGCGACAUACUGAGGAUCAGCAUUCCUGCCUUCCUUGCUGUGUGUGAUAAGGCUGCUCUCCCAACCUUGCCUUCAUGCUCCUGGCCCUACUCGAUCACCAACAUUCACUGCGGCCCAUAUUCGAUACUAGCCAGCUUGAGAAUGUACAUUUCCAACCUUGGGAGUUACCCAAGUUACCUUCUGGAUAAUCCUGAAUUUGGAAGAUCCUGAGCCUUGAGAGUUGGGCAACAGCCUCCUAGAUGAAGAGUAUUUCCUCUACUGUGUUUCUCAGAGAAAGAGAAGAUUGUCUGCAGAGGAUUGACCUGUAGAUUAAAGAAUAAGGUCAUGACAUGAGGGACCUAGAAGAUCUAGGCCUUGCCAACCUUGCACAACAUUGCUGAGUUGUUCAGAUGGUGAAGGUCUGAGGUAAAUGGGAAAUAUUUAUGUCUCUUCUCUAGGCAUCAUCCUCGGGGAAAGCUAAUUCAUCUAAUGGGCUAUUACAGCAUGUUAUGUAUUAUCAGUAUGUUUCUGUGGCUUAGAUCAGUGUUUCCUUUGCAGCUCAUGCAUUUACUUUGGUGGGAAAAGUAAAGGCUGCCCCACACCCACACUCUAACCUCAAAAGGAAUGUAUUUGCCUGAAGUUUUAUAAAUUUCAUCAAAAAGGCUUUAAAACACUCCAAAAGUGUAUAUCAAACUGGAUACUAGACCAGGGUGGGGGAGGGAUGCAAUAGCACUGUACAUGAAGAAGAAAUGCUCCUUUGAGGAAAUUCAGGAAUCUGGAGGUGGGGUGGGGGGAGGGGAGCAACAUGGUGGAGAACAUUUGAGUGAAGAUAACUAGAACAGAAAUAUAUAAUAUAUCAUAUAGGACAUAUUUGAGUUAGUCAUCUGAGUAUACUACAGACAAAAAGGGGAAAUAGAUGAGAAAUUUAGGAAAGAAAUCACACUGGAAUGUUAGCAAGAUAUGGAAGUGAUGAGCGACUUCAAUUCUCUGGAUAUCUGCUGAAGCUUUCUCUCUGCCAAAAGCAGAGCAACUAAUAAACUUUUGACUUACUAUCUUGAUAGCUUCAUCCUUCAAAAAGUAGAAGAGUCAAUGAGUACCAAUUCUAUUCCAUUUCUAAUUCUCAUCAGCAAGGUGGAAUUGGUUGCUGGGGUAGAAACAAUAGGCAUCUUGGAGUGAAGUAAUGACUCCAUUUUAGAAUUUUUGAUAGAGAAGAUGAAAACUAGUAAUAGUCUGAUGUGGACCCUGAAUUUAAGAAAGUAUAUUUUAACUAGCUUGGAGAAAGCAUAGGUAAUAUCACAAGAUUAAAUUUUAUAAGAGAAAACACAUCAAGACAGAUCAAAGGCUUUCAACAAGUAAAUUCUUAAAUUAAAUUAAUUAAUUUAAAUUAAAUUAAAUCUUAAAGACAAAAAGAGAAACAAUUCUGAAGGAGAAAAGUGGAAACUGUUUUAAAAGACUGAUGUGGAUAUAUAGGGAAUUCAUCAAGCAAUUUAAGAUCUUUUUUUAUUAAGAGGCAAUUGGGAUUAAGUGACUUGCCCAAAGUCACAGAGCUAGUAAAUGUCUGAGACU